UACGCAGGUGGCAAGCGUUACUCGGAAUUACUAGGCGUAAAGGGCAGGUAGGUGGUCUGAUAAGUCUGUUGUGAAAGCUCCCGGCCCAACUGGGAGAGGUCAACAGAAACUAUCAGGCUUGAGUAUGGGAGAGGGUACUGGAAUUCCUGGUGUAGCGGUGAAAUGCGCAGAGAUCAGGAGGAACACCGAUGGCGAAAGCAGGUACCUGGACCAUUACUGACACUCAGCUGCGAAAGCUAGGGGAGCAAACAGG
rnacentral:rRNA from 1 species